GUGUUGUAUGAAAGGAGAGAAUGUUAGCACUCCCCUUGACAAGGAUGGAAGAGGCCCUCAGGCCUGACAACACGCAUAUGGUUAGAAAUGUUUUAAAUUUCUUAAACCUGAGUAAAAU
ensembl:snRNA